AGAGUUUGAUCAUGGCUCAGAACGAACGCUGGCGGCGCGCCUAACACAUGCAAGUCGAACGGGGUACUUAGAGCAGAUCACUUCGGUGUGAAGCACUUUGUUACCUAGUGGCGGACGGGUGAGUAACACAUAGGUAACCUGCCCUUAGGAUUGGGAUACUCCCGGGAAACCGGGCACAAUACCGAAUAUCAUUGCGAAAUUAUGUUUUGUAAUGAAAGCUGCGAGCAAUCGUGGCGCCUAAGGAUGGGCCUGUGGCCUAUCAGCUUGUUGGUGAGGUAAUGGCUCACCAAGGCUAAGACGGGUAGCCGGACUGAGAGGUCGAUCGGCCACACUGGAACUGAGACACGGUCCAGACUCCUACGGGAGGCAGCAGUGGGGAAUUUUGCGCAAUGGGCGAAAGCCUGACGCAGCGACGCCGCGUGGGGGAAGAAGGCCUUCGGGUUGUAAACUCCUUUAGUACGGGAAGAAGCCUUCGGGUGACGGUACCGUAAGAAUAAGCCACGGCUAACUCUGUGCCAGCAGCCGCGGUAAUACAGAGGUGGCAAGCGUUGUUCGGAUUUACUGGGCUUAAAGGGCGUGUAGGCGUCCCAACAAGUCAGAUGUGGAAGCCCUGGGCUUAACCCAGGAAGUGCAUUUGAAACUGUCGGGAUUGAGUCGUGCAAGGGAGGGCGGAAUUCCUGGUGUAGCGGUGAAACGCGUAGAUAUCAGGAGGAAGGCCGGUGGUGAAGACGGCCCUCUAGGCAAUGACUGACGCUGAGGCGCGAAAGCGUGGGUAGCAAACAGGAUUAGAUACCCUGGUAGUCCACGCCCUAAACGGUGCGUACUAGGUGUGGGUGGCGAUAGUCAUCCGUGCCGAAGGGAAACCAUUAAGUACGCCGCCUGGGGAGUACGGCCGCAAGGUUGAAACUCAAAUGAAUUGACGGGGGCCCGCACAAGCGGUGGAGCAUGUGGUUUAAUUCGACGCUACGCGCAGAACCUUACCUAGGCUUGACAUGUUAGUGGUAGGAACCCGAAAGGGUGACGACCUAUUCUUCGGAAUAGGAGCUUUCACAGGUGCUGCAUGGCUGUCGUCAGCUCGUGCCGUGAGGUGUUGGGUUAAGUCCCGCAACGAGCGCAACCCUCAUCAUCUGUUGCCCUUAACGGGGCUCUCUGAUGAAACUGCCGGCGAAGAGCCGGAGGAAGGUGGGGAUGACGUCAAGUCCGCAUGGCCCUUAUGCCUAGGGCUACACACGUGCUACAAUGGCAGAUACAAAGGGUGGCCAAGCCGCGAGGUGGAGCCAAUCUCAUAAAGUCUGUCCAAGUUGGGAUCGGAGUCUGCAAUUCGACUCCGUGAACCUGGAAUCGCUAGUAAUCGUGGAUCAGCACGCCACGGUGAAUACGUUCCCGGGCCUUGUACACACCGCCCGUCACACCACGAAAGUCUGCUGUACCCGAAGUAGGUGAGCCAACCAGCAAUGGAGGCAGCUUCCUAAGGUAUGGCCGGUAAUUGGGGUGAAGUCGAAACAAGGUA
rnacentral:rRNA from 1 species